GUGGGGAAUAUUGGGCAAUGGGCGAAAGCCUGACCCAGCAACGCCGCGUGAGGGAAGAAGGUUUUCGGAUUGUAAACCUCUGUCCUUGGUGACGAAGGAAGUGACGGUAGCCAAGGAGGAAGCCCCGGCUAACUACGUGCCAGCAGCCGCGGUAAUACGUAGGGGGCGAGCGUUGUCCGGAAUGACUGGGCGUAAAGGGCGUGUAGGCGGCCGAUUAAGUCUGGAGUGAAAGUCCUGCUUUCAAGGUGGGAAUUGCUCUGGAGACUGGUUGGCUUGAGUGCGGAAGAGGUAAGUGGAAUUCCCAGUGUAGCGGUGAAAUGCGUAGAGAUUGGGAGGAACACCAGUGGCGAAGGCGACUUACUGGGCCGUAACUGACGCUGAGGCGCGAAAGCGUGGGGAGCGAACAGGAUUAGAUACCCGUGUAGUCC
rnacentral:rRNA from 1 species